rnacentral:rRNA from 1 species
GAUGAACGCUGGCGGCGUGCCUAAUACAUGCAAGUCGAGCGGACGGACGAGAAGAUUGCUUCUCUGAUGUUAGCGGCGGGCGGGUGAUUAACACGUGGAUACCCUGCCUAUAGGGCUGGGAUAACUUCGGGUAACCGAAGCUAAUACCCGAUGAUAUUUUGAACCGCAGGGUUCAAAAGUGCAAGGCGGUCUUGCUGUCACUUAUAGAUGGAUCCGCGCUGCAUUAGGUAGUUGGUAGGGUAACGGCCUACCAAGGCGACGAUGUGUAGCCGGCCUGAGAGGACGACCAGCCACACUGGGACUGAGACACGGCCCAGACUCCUACGGGAGGCAGCAGUGGGGAAUUUUGGACAAUGGGCGCAAGCCUGAUCCAGCAAUGCCGCGUGCAGGACGAAGGCCUUCGGGUUGUAAAAUGCUUUUGUAUGGAACGAAAAGGCUCUGGCUAAUACCUGGGGCUCAUGACGGUACCGUAAGAAUAAGCACCGGCUAACUACGUG